GUAAUACUCCCUCCGAUCCUAAAUUGUUGUCGAAAUAUUACAUGUAUCUAGACGUUUUCUAAGAAUAGAUACAUCCAUAUUUGAGCAAACUUGAGACAAAAAUUUAGGAUCGGCGGGAGUAACUU
rfam:Brachypodium distachyon strain Bd21 chromosome 4, whole genome shotgun sequence.